GACGAACGCUGGCGGCGUGCUUAACACAUGCAAGUCGAACGCUGAAGCUCAGCUUUUUUUGGCUGGCUGAGUGGCGAACGGGUGAGUAACACGUGAGUAACCUGCCCCCUUCUUUGGGAUAACGCCCGGAAACGGGUGCUAAUACUGGAUAUUCACCGGUCUUCGCAUGGGGGCUGGUGGAAAGGGCUUUUUGGGUGGGGGAUGGGCGCGCGGCCUAGUAGCCUGGUGGAGGGGUGAUGGCCCAGCCAGGCCUUGACGGGUUGCCGGCCUGGGGGGGUUACCGGUCACAUGGGGACUGAGAUAGGGCCCAGACUGCUGCGGGAGGCGGAAGUGGUGAAUAUUGCGCACUGGGCGGAAGCAUGCUGCAGAGACGCGGGGUGAGGGAUGGAGGCCUUCGGGUCGUGCACCUCUUUCGAUCAUGGUAAAACCGCAACAAUGGUUGUGGUGAGGGUAGUGGGUAGAGAAGCCCCGGCUAACUACGUG
rnacentral:rRNA from 1 species